GUGGUGGUAGUGUAGUGGUUAAGACACUUGGCUAGUGUACAGUAGGCUAAAACGUUGUGGGUUCAAUUCCUGGCUUCCACC
rnacentral:tRNA from 1 species